GAGCGCCCCCCCCCCUCACUCCUCACGACCCCUCCCCCCAGCACGCUUUCUCCUCUCUCUCUCCAUUGCUCCCUCAGAUCCGCUCCAUUGUAGCCUCAAUCAAGAAAGCGGAGCAUCAAAAUGGAUUGAGGAGGAAGAGAGGAUCGAGGAGAUAGGCGGGAUUUGUGUUUUCCCCAACCUUCCCUUACGGAUUCUCAUGGAGAACCCCGUGGGUUAUUCUUUGAAGCUAGUAUGAAAGGAAGUGGAUUAGUUGCACGCCAUACACUUCUACAUGAUCUCAUAAUGAUUUGGUGCAUAAGUCUGAGUUUGUAUGAUCUUGUAGUAACUUAAAUCAUAUUAGUACAUGAUGUAGAGUGGUCUUUAUGGAGCAUCACGCUUUUCAUAUACAUCUUCCUAUUGUUGCUUCCGUGUCUUGCUUGUAUAUAGGUUUUGCUGCUGAAAUUUAAAUUUUCAGCAUUUGAUAGUGUAGAGUGUAGGAUCUCAGGGUUGCGUGAUACCUGGGGUGUUACAAUCCAUGUGACAUCAUGUAUGGGUUGAGAAUGGCUCGACCGGUGAAGAUGACAUCCAUGCUGAGAUCAGCCUAAAAAAUGCCCUCAAGGUUAUCGAAGAUCAACUUAGUGAGGAGCAGAAGCAAGUGAUUGCUAAGGUUGUCGACGGCUACAAAGAGGCAUGUCUGCAGACAUUCAUUAUGGUCAGCAAGGGGGGCAAGAUAAUCCAGAAGACCAAUUUCCCCACGCCGCGCCAUAUCACGAUCAUAGAAGACCCGGUGAAGUUCCAGGAGAUGUUUGAUCAAGCCAUGCAUCAUGCACUAAUCAACCAAUCAAAUGUUAUGAAACUCUGUCAAGAAUGCCGUUUAUCAGAUGAUGAGUGGCAAAUCCAAACUUGGAUACA